rnacentral:rRNA from 1 species
GGGCUUGACAUCCCACGAAUCCCUUCGAAAGAAGGGAGUGCCCGCAAGGGAGCGCGGAGACAGGUGGUGCAUGGCUGUCGUCAGCUCGUGUCGUGAGAUGUUGGGUUAAGUCCCGCAACGAGCGCAACCCUCACCUCUUGUUGCCACCAGGUCAUGCUGGGCACUCUAGAGGAACUGCCCCGGUCAACGGGGAGGAAGGCGGGGAUGACGUCAAGUCAUCAUGCCCCUUACGUCCUGGGCUACACACGUGCUACAAUGGCCGGUACAAAGGGAUGCCACACCGCGAGGUAGAGCUAAACCCAAAAAGCCGGUCUAAGUUCAGAUUGGAGUCUGCAACUCGACUUCAUGAAGGAGGAAUCGCUAGUAAUCGCGUAUCAGCACGACGCGGUGAAUACGUUCCCGGGCCUUGUACACACCGCCCGUCACACCACGAAAGUCAGUUGUACUCGAAGUCGCUGAG